rnacentral:rRNA from 1 species
AAAACGACGGCUGUAACUAUAACGGUCCUAAGGUAGCAAAUUUCCUUGUCGUCCUAAUAACGACCUGCAUGAAACAUAGAACGAUUCGAUAGCUGUCUUGCACACACAUCAUGGUAAAAUAUUCAUCAGUACGAAUAAUAUGCUGACUAAAGUUUAUUAACACUAAAGGACAAAAAGACCCUCUGAAGCUUUAUAGGGAUAAAACUUGGGUAACAUUCUCAAUACAAAUAUUCUUAUUGCAUGCCAGCUAAAGUAGUAAAUUAUUGGUUUUCUCCUAAGACCACUGUUUAAUUGGGGCGAUAACCUUAUCAACAGCCACCUAAGGUGAACAAAGCGAUACAAGGAUCCUAAACUUUUGACCAACUAAUAAGUGCAAAGAUACAUGUUUCGCUUAAUGGCCCAACAAGUCCUUCCCAGUACUUAAAUGCUAUCUUAAUGAGCUUUAAAUUAAUUUACCCGAGUUAAGCUACUCUACGGAUAACAGGCUUAAUUUCCGCAAUAUUAAAGGUCACAUUAUCACGAAAAAUGUACCUCGAUGUCGGCUUAUCAUCACUAAAAUAGGUAGCUUAAUUAUUGGUGGGAGUGCUCAUCCCGUAAAUUGGUUCGUGAGCUGGGUUCAAUACG